ensembl:miRNA mir125b-1 microRNA mir-125b-1
AACCUGUACCUCUCUCAUUCCCUGAGACCCUAACUUGUGACGUUUUGCUCUGAUGUGCACGGGUUGGGCUCUUGGGAGCUGCGAGGGGCACUCACACAUCU